rnacentral:rRNA from 1 species
AACGAACGCUGGCGGCAGGCUUAACACAUGCAAGUCGAACGGGUGUAGCAAUACAUCAGUGGCAGACGGGUGAGUAACACGUGGGAACCUUCCUAGGGGUACGGAACAACUCAGGGAAACUUGAGCUAAUACCGUAUACGUCCGUGAGGAGAAAGAUUUAUCGCCCUUAGACGGGCCCGCGUCGGAUUAGGUAGUUGGUGGGGUAACGGCCUACCAAGCCUACGAUCCGUAGCUGAUCUGAGAGGAUGAUCAGCCACACUGGGACUGAGACACGGCCCAGACUCCUACGGGAGGCAGCAGUGGGGAAUCUUGGACAAUGGGCGCAAGCCUGAUCCAGCCAUGCCGCGUGAGUGAAGAAGGCC